CUACGGGCGGCUGCAGUCGAUAAUAUUCCACAAUGGGCGAAAGCCUGAUGGAGCGACGCCGCGUGCAGGAUGAAGGCCUUCGGGUUGUAAACUGCUUUUUUUGGGGACGAAUUUCGUGACGGUACCCAAAGAAUAAGAGGUUACUAACUCAUGUGCCAGCAGUAGCGGUAAUACAGAGACCUCAAGCGUUAUCCGGAUUUAUUGGGCGUAAAGAGCAUGUAGGCGGGUAUAUUAGUCAGAUGUCAAAUCUCCGAGCUCAACUCGGAAACUGCAUUUGAAACGGUAUAUCUAGAGAGAGUGAGAGACUAAUGGAACAUAUGGUGUAGCAGUGAAAUGCGUUGAUAUCAUAUGGAACACCAAAGGCGAAGGCAUUUAGUUGGCACUCUUCUGACGCUGAGAUGCGAAAGCGUGGGUAGCGAAUGGGAUUAGAUACCCUGGUAGUC
rnacentral:rRNA from 1 species